UUGGGGUGACCACCAAUAGAGCAGCCAUUACUUCUCCCAUGGGGGUUUGCUCUCCAGCUUUCCCAGUGGCCUGAAUGGCUAAUUGAUACAUAACUGAGGGAGCGAAAAUGAUGAUCUGUCACCCAGAAGCUUUGCCAUCUCCGUGAACCCAUCAACAACCAUGCAGACGGGAACUCCACCUUCAAAGGUUGGAAAAAUUUAGGUAACUUUCUAGCAGCGCCUCCCCUGUCCACAGGUUGUGUCUGGUAUUGCAGCUUCACCCCAUUCAUUGAAUGCAGUACCAGACGCAGCCCAUAGUUGAACUGUUUCUAGAGGAAAUAUCGUAUGUAAAGGGAUUGUCCAAGAUUAGAAAAACAUGGCUGCUUUC